UAUUUCAUCGGAACACAAUGAACUUUUUCAACCAGCUGAUUUAUUUAACAUAGAUCAGUGAAAGAUCCCAUGGGGAGAUGUGCGAGUAACCUGUGGCCCCCAGAGGAGAUACAGGCCGCUCAGGCUUGGCAUUACGGCUAUGGGGAAGCUACAUAACCAUAACUGCUAUUUCCCGUGAAACCUACAGAUGGGUUUUUGUGAAGGCCUGCGUUGAGCAAAAAAAACCAAAAACAAAAGCAAAAGCUUACAUCAUUAAUUUAAAAUAAAUUAAAUUGACUCGACAAAAGUCAAUGGGUUUUUGAAUGGCAUAUGCACGAUAACAUCAUUCAAUUCAAUUAUGAUUAUGUGACCUUCCACAUCAAAGGCGUCGAUUAUCACUAAAAAAAAAUGAUUCCUGAAUGACAACCUCCAUUAAAAAUUUGGUGAUACCGCCAAAAACGAAAAAAAAAAACAGUAAGGAAGGGCCAAAGUCGGGCGGGGCCGACUGUAUAAUACCCUACACCUACCUUAUAAGUACAACGUGGGACCUAUAUCCAAGUCUGAACCAAUUUUGAUGAACCUCGGCGAGCAAAUGUGAUCAAACUGUAAAAAUGGUUAAGUGACAAAUGACAACAUUAUGGCAAAUUACCAAAAAUCUGACCUGGGAGCUAUAUCUAAUUCUGAACCGAUUUCCUGGAAACUUCUCAGAUAUUGUGGUAGUCGUCGAGGAAAUCUGACGAUAUACAUGUAUGACAGCUAUAUCUAAAUCUGGGACGAUGAAUAUCACCAGUAAUAUUGAGAGUCAUAAGAAAAUCCUUCCUGCAAAAUUUCAACAGAAUCGGUUAACAUUUGGACGAACAUAUAUAUGAGAGCUAUACCUAAAUCUGAACCGAUUUCGAACAAACUUCUUGGAUACUGUGGCAGUCGUCGAGAAAAGCGUUUUGCACAAUUUUGGCAAGAUGGAUCAAUAAAUGCGCUUGAUGUGACUCUAGAAGUUAAAAUCGGGCGGUAUAUAUAUACAUAUAUAGCCUGAGAGCUAUAUCUAAAUCUGGACCGAUUUCGACCAAACUCUGUGUAUAUUGUGGUAGUCGUCGAGGAAAGCGUCGUGCAAUAUUGGUCAAUAAAUGUGCUUGCAGUUGCUCUAGUAGUGAAAAUCGGGCGAUAUACAUGUAUAUAUUAGCUGACCCGGGCCCGCUCCGCUGCGCCUUCAUUUACUUUAUGUGGAACUAAAGUUUCCUUGAAAUAUUUAUUUUCGACAAUUAAAGAUCUUUUACUGAAA